AAUUAUCGCUGAAAAUAUAUUAAGAUCACAAGCUUCAAAUUUUUUAACUAAAAUGCCAGAAUAAAAGAAGGGGCGGAAGUUGGGGUCGAGGAAAAUAUUUUUUGCUUAUAGAGGCAAAAGUAAACUUUAUUUAAUACCACACAUAGUCACUACAAUAACACUAAAAUGGCAUAGUCGAAUAUCAGAACCAGAGAAACUCACCUGAUUUCGAUUCCCAGACCAACAGGAUAUCUCACAUUCCCUUAAUUCUGAUUGAUAAACCGGAAAACUCAACAUGAAGUCCAUAACAGCUCUCUUUCGAGGCAAC
rnacentral:lncRNA from 1 species